AUUGAACGCUGGCGGAAUGCUUUACACAUGCAAGUCGAACGGUAGAGGGGGCAACCCCUUGAGAGUGGCGAACGGGUGAGUAAUAUAUCGGAACGUGCCCAGUCGUGGGGAUAACGUAGCGAAAGCUACGCUAAUACCGCAUACGAUCUAUGGAUGAAAGCGGGGGAUCGCAAGACCUCGCGCGAUUGGAGCGGCCGAUAUCAGAUUAGGUAGUUGGUGAGGUAAAGGCUCACCAAGCCGACGAUCUGUAGCUGGUCUGAGAGGACGACCAGCCACACUGGGACUGAGACACGGCCCAGACUCCUACGGGAGGCAGCAGUGGGGAAUUUUUGGGACAAUGGGCGCAAGCCUGAUCCAGCAAUGCCGCGUGCAGGAUGAAGG
rnacentral:rRNA from 1 species